GACGAACGCUGGCGGCGUGCUUAACACAUGCAAGUCGAACGGAAAGGCCCUGCUUUUGUGGGGUGCUCGAGUGGCGAACGGGUGAGUAACACGUGAGUAACCUGCCCUUGACUUUGGGAUAACUUCAGGAAACUGGGGCUAAUACCGGAUAGGAGCUCCUGCUGCAUGGUGGGGGUUGGAAAGUUUCGGCGGUUGGGGAUGGACUCGCGGCUUAUCAGCUUGUUGGUGGGGUAGUGGCUUACCAAGGCUUUGACGGGUAGCCGGCCUGAGAGGGUGACCGGCCACGUUGGGACUGAGAAACGGCCGAGACGCCUGCGGGAGGGCGCAGUGGGGAAUAUUGCACGAUGGGCGGAAGCAUGAUGCAGCGACGCCGCGUGCGGGAGGACGGCCGUCGGGUUGGAAAGCGCUUUCGCCUGUGACGAAGCGUGAGUGACGGUAAUGGGUAAAGAAGCACCGGCUAAAUACGUG
rnacentral:rRNA from 1 species